rnacentral:rRNA from 1 species
UACAGAGGCCUCGAGCGUUAGGCGGAAUCACUGGGCUUAAAGCGUGUGUAGGUGGAUGCCUAAGUACCUUGUGAAAUCCCACGGCUUAACCGUGGAACUGCUGGGUAUACUGGGCGUCUUGAGCCACUCAGGGGCUACCGGAACAAACGGCGGAGCGGUGAAAUGCGUAGAUAUCGUUUGGAACGCCAAUGGUGAAAACAGGUAGCUGGGGGUGUGCUGACACUGAGACACGAAAGCCAGGGGAGCAAACGGG